GCCAAGCUUUUAUUCAAAAGUGUUUAUAUGUAAUGCGACCGUGCAAGUGACACGUGUAUUUAACAAACAAGCAUGCAUUAUAAAGAAAAUUACUAGAUUCCCACCUGACCCAUAUAAAAAAAAGUCAUAAUUAAUUGUACUUAAUUGAAAUGAAAACAAUAAAAUGAUUUACUAGUAUCCGAGCAGAAAGUUGAUGAACCAGGCAGGGAUGGGGUAAUUGAAAAUGCAAUGGUAAUUAAGUGUAUUGCAUUACAAUUUUCCAUGUAAUUGAAUGUAAUGUGUUUUAAUUACAUAUAAUGGUAAUUUAAUUAAUUACAAUAAAAAAAGCAUGUAAUGCUCAAUUACUUUUGAAUUACAUUUCAAUUAC
rnacentral:lncRNA from 1 species